AUUGAACGCUGGCGGCAUGCCUUACACAUGCAAGUCGAACGGCAGCACGGGUGCUUGCACCUGGUGGCGAGUGGCGAACGGGUGAGUAAUACAUCGGAACAUGUCCUGUAGUGGGGGAUAGCCCGGCGAAAGCCGGAUUAAUACCGCAUACGAUCUACGGAUGAAAGCGGGGGACCUUCGGGCCUCGCGCUAUAGGGUUGGCCGAUGGCUGAUUAGCUAGUUGGUGGGGUAAAGGCCUACCAAGGCGACGAUCAGUAGCUGGUCUGAGAGGACGACCAGCCACACUGGGACUGAGACACGGCCCAGACUCCUACGGGAGGCAGCAGUGGGGAAUUUUGGACAAUGGGCGAAAGUCUGAUCCAGCAAUGCCGCGUGUGUGAAGAAGGCCUUCGGGUUGUAAAGCACUUUUGUCCGGAAAGAAAUCCUUGGCCCUAAUACGGUCGGGGGAUGACGGUACCGGAAGAAUAAGCACCGGCUAACUACGUG
rnacentral:rRNA from 1 species